rnacentral:rRNA from 1 species
UGAGGAAUAUUGGUCAAUGGGCGUAAGCCUGAACCAGCCAAGUAGCGUGAGGGAAGACUGCCCUAUGGGUUGUAAACCUCUUUUGUGCGGGGAUAAAGUGUGGGACGUGUCCCAUAUUGCAGGUACCGCACGAAUAAGGACCGGCUAAUUCCGUGCCAGCAGCCGCGGUAAUACGGAAGGUCCGGGCGUUAUCCGGAUUUAUUGGGUUUAAAGGGAGCGCAGGCCGUCCUUUAAGCGUGCUGUGAAAUGCCGCGGCUCAACCGUGGCACUGCAGCGCGAACUGGAGGACUUGAGUACGCACGAGGUAGGCGGAAUUCGUGGUGUAGCGGUGAAAUGCUUAGAUAUCACGAAGAACUCCGAUUGCGAAGGCAGCUUACCGGAGCGCAACUGACGCUGAGGCUCGAAAGCGCGGGUAUCGAACAGGAUUAGAUACCCUGGUAGUCCGCGCGGUAAACGAUGGAUGCCCGCCGUUGGGAUUUAGAUUUCAGCGGCCAAGCGAAAGCGUUAAGCAUCCCACCUGGGGAGUACGCCGGCAACGGUGAAACUCAAAGGAAUUGACGGGGGCCCGCACAAGCGGAGGAACAUGUGGUUUAAUUCGAUGAUACGCGAGGAACCUUACCCGGGCUUGAAUUGCAGGAGAACGAUCCAGAGAUGGUGAGGCCCUUCGGGGCUCCUGUGAAGGUGCUGCAUGGUUGUCGUCAGCUCGUGCCGUGAGGUGUCGGCUCAAGUGCCAUAACGAGCGCAACCCCUGUCCAUAGUUGCCAUCAGGUCGUGCUGGGCACUCUGUGGAGACUGCCGCCGUAAGGUGUGAGGAAGGUGGGGAUGACGUCAAAUCAGCACGGCCCUUACGUCCGGGGCUACACACGUGUUACAAUGGGGCAUACAGCGAGUUGGAUGUGCGCAAGUACGUCCGGAUCAAUAAAGUGCCUCUCAGUUCGGACUGGGGUCUGCAACCCGACCCCACGAAGCUGGAUUCGCUAGUAAUCGCGCAAAAGCCAUGGCGCGGUGAAUACGUUCCC